AUUGAACGCUGGCGGCAGGCCUAACACAUGCAAGUCGAACGGUAACAGGGAUCAGCUUGCUGAUUCGCUGACGAGUGGCGGACGGGUGAGUAAUGUCUGGGAAACUGCCUGAUGGAGGGGGAUAACUACUGGAAACGGUAGCUAAUACCGCAUAACGUCGCAAGACCAAAGAGGGGGACUUUCGGGCCUCUUGCCAUCGGAUGUGCCCAGAUGGGAUUAGCUAGUAGGUGGGGUAACGGCUCACCUAGGCGACGAUCCCUAGCUGGUCUGAGAGGAUGACCAGCCACACUGGAACUGAGACACGGUCCAGACUCCUACGGGAGGCAGCAGUGGGGAAUAUUGCACAAUGGGCGCAAGCCUGAUGCAGCCAUGCCGCGUGUAUGAAGAAGGCCUUCGGGUUGUAAAGUACUUUCAGCGGGGAGGAAGGGAGUAAAGUUAAUACCUUUGCUCAUUGACGUUACCCGCAGAAGAAGCACCGGCUAACUCCGUG
rnacentral:rRNA from 1 species